UACGUAGGGGCCGAGCGUUGUCCGGAGUUAUUGGGCGUAAAGCGCGCGCAGGCGGCCUCGCGCGCCCGACGUGAAAGCCCCCGGCUUAACCGGGGAGGGUCGUUGGGGACGGCGGGGCUUGAGGGCGGGAGAGGGCGGUGGAAUUCCCGGUGUAGUGGUGAAAUGCGUAGAGAUCGGGAGGAACACCUGUGGCGAAGGCGGCCGUCUGGGCCGGUAUUGACGCUGAUGCGCGAAAGCCAGGGGAGCAAACGGG
rnacentral:rRNA from 1 species